CCGCCGCCGUCCGUCUGCCUCUACUUUCCCUCCUCUGCUGCUCAUCAUCUGAUUCAUGCGCACAGUCGGCGAUGCAGCCUACUUCACUGCUCCAGCCUCGAAUGAGCCAAGGAUGAGGCCACAAUUCAACUAAGUGAACAAACUACUCCUUAGAUCGAUGCAUGCAAAGUCAUAUGGUUGGAUUGAUCCUCAUCCAGGUGACAAUGGUGCUCCAUUACCAUGGUCAUCGACUACUGGUCUGUUUGUCAGCAGAGGAAAUGGUGCAACUAGUUCAACAAGAAGGACAAGAACAAUGAAAAGAGGAGAUAAAGAACAAUACAAGUCAGAUUUCUUACUUUUGGUCCUGAAGAUCCAUUGCCGUGUUCAUGGUUCUCAUGACCACUGCUUGAAGAAGCCAUAGAGGACAAUGAUUUCCUUACUUUAAACCUCGGAUCGCUUGAUAUUUGCAGACUUUGCUAUCUGCCUGAAUUUGGUUUGUGGAUGCAAUCAGGCUCCAGAUUGAAAUCUCUUCCGCCUGGUAUUUAGGAUCUUGUGUUUGUAAAGGUUUGCCUAGUGCCUCUGUUUUCUA